AAAGGAAUUGACGGGGACCCGCACAAGCGGUGGAGCAUGUGGUUUAAUUCGAAGCAACGCGAAGAACCUUACCAGGUCUUGACAUCCUUUGACCAUCCUAGAGAUAGGAUUUUCCCUUCGGGGACAAAGUGACAGGUGGUGCAUGGUUGUCGUCAGCUCGUGUCGUGAGAUGUUGGGUUAAGUCCCGCAACGAGCGCAACCCUUAUUGUUAGUUGCCAUCAUUCAGUUGGGCACUCUAGCGAGACUGCCGCAGACAAUGCGGAGGAAGGUGGGGAUGACGUCAAAUCAUCAUGCCCCUUAUGACCUGGGCUACACACGUGCUACAAUGGAGAGUACAACGAGUCGCAAAGCCGCGAGGCUAAGCCAAUCUCUUAAAGCUCUUCUCAGUUCGGAUUGUAGGCUGCAACUCGCCUACAUGAAGCCGGAAUCGCUAGUAAUCGCGGAUCAGCACGCCGCGGUGAAUACGUUCCCGGGUCUUGUACACACCGCCCGU
rnacentral:rRNA from 1 species